AACCUUUCUUAUCCCGUCUUGAAACACGGACCAAGGAGUAUAACAUUUAGGCAAGAAUAAGAGUAUAAAAAAAUAAAAAAAAAACUUAUAAAAUUAUUCAUAAUGAAAGUAAAAUAACUUAAUAGGUGGAAAACAAAUUAAAGUUUGUUGGCACACUUGAAGGUACCAUAAUAUUUGUUAAUUUUAUUUACUUAGGUAUCAUUUGUAGUCUAUAUGUUGUGACCCGAAAGAUGGUGAACUAUACUUGUGUAGAAUAAAGUCAGGAGAAAUUCUGAUGGAAGUUCGAAUUACAAUACUGACGUGCAAAUCGUUUGUCAAAUAUGAGUAUAGGGGCGAAAGACUAAUCGAACUAUCUAGUAGCUGGUUAAAGCUGAAAUUUCUCUCAG
rnacentral:rRNA from 1 species